UAAAUUCACCAAAACAUCCCCGGUGUUUUGUUUAGCUGACUGGAGAGCUGGCCUCGGCAGCUAGUGGGUCCAUGACGAUGACUUCUGCUUUGUUCGAUCCGCCGUUUUACUGCCGUGCAACAGGCAGAGUUUGGAAACAGUUAAGCUGGUCCAGACGGACAAUCGCCCAGCAGAAUUUCCGGCGAGUCCCACCAGGGCCGAUGGCGGGCUUUUUGGUGCCAGGACAAGCUGUGCGUCCCCAUCUCUGAACAUCCUCCCCCAACUAUGAAGCGCUAGGUGUUCAAACUCAGGACCCGGGAUGGACCACUCAUCUGUGCAUCAGUUGGGGACGUCUCUGCACUGCUGACUUGUCUCCACCCAAGACGAUCUCCGGCUGGACCCACUAUGGACUGGACUCUCACACUUUGUUCUAGAUCAGUGGUUCUCAACCUUUUUUCAGUGAUGUACUCCCUGUGGACAUUUUUUUUUAUUUAAAUACCCCCUAAUCACAGCAAAGCAUUUUUGGUUGAAAAAAAGAGAUAAAGAAGUAAAAUA